rnacentral:rRNA from 1 species
UACGUAGGGUGCAGGCGUAAUCGGAAUUACUGGGCGUAAAGCGUGCGUAGGCGGUUUGUUAAGACAGGUGUGAAAUCCCCGGGCUUAACCUGGGAACUGCGCUUGUUACUGGCAGACUGGAGUGUGGCAGAGGGGGGGUGGAAUUCCAGGUGUAGCAGUGAAAUGCGUAGAUAUCUGGAGGAACACCGAUGGCGAAGGCAGCCCCCUGGGCUAACACUGACGCUGAUGCACGAAAGCGUGGGGAGCAAACAGG